rnacentral:rRNA from 1 species
GCUGCAGUUAAAAAGCUCGUAGUUGAAAUUCUGUACGACAGACUAAGAACAUUUAUGUUAUUAGCUCUUCGGACAUCAGUCUGCAAUCUUUUUCACGUCAUUCAUUUGACGGGAUUGGGAGCAGACGUUUUACCUUGAGAAAAUUAGAGUGUUCCAGGCAGGCUUCAGCCCGAAUACAUUAGCAUGGAAUAAUAGAAUAGGACUAGAGACUAUUUAUUGGUUUGAGGCUCUAGUAAUGAUUAAUAGGAACAGUCGGGGGCAUUAGUACUUAACAGUCAGAGGUGAAAUUCUAGGAUUUGUUAAAGACUAACUAAUGCGAAAGCAUUUGCCAAGCAUGUUUUCAUUAAUCAAGAACGAAAGUUAGGGGAUCAAAGACGAUUAGAUACCGUCGUAGUCUUAACCAUAAACUAUACCGACUCGGAAUUGGAUAAUUUUAAAAUAGGUUAUUCAGCGCCGUAAGAGAAAUCAAAGUCUUUGGGUUCUUGGUGGAGUACGAUCGCAAGAUUGAAACUUAAAGGAAUUGACGGUUUUGCACCACCAUGGAGUGGAGCCUGCGGCUUAAUUUGACUCAACACAGGAAAACUUAUCAGGGUAAAAAGGUAUUGGGAUUGACAGAUUGAGA